CGGCAUAGUCCGGCGCAGCAUGGAGCAGCUGCCUUUGGGCCCACGAGAUGGGUGCUCUCCUGGGCGCCCCCUCCCCUGGCAGGGGCCGAGGACACUGCUGCUGCACAAAAGUCUCCAGGAUGGCUUUGGUUUCACCCUGCGCCACUUCAUCGUGUACCCACCCGAGUCUGCCGUGCACUGCAGCCUGAAGGUAUGCCUAGCUCUCCGCUGUCCUCACUGUCCCUGGGAAGCUUGAUGGGGGAGAGUGAUUCCUUUGCCCACUAGUCCCUCUCAGAGAAGAAGUCUUUCCUGGGACUGCUGACUCCCUUCUGCUGAGGCCUGGGAGGAAGGCUGCUGGGAGGCCGUGCCUGCUGGGGCUGGGACAUUUG
rnacentral:lncRNA from 1 species